GACCUGUAUUCCGAACUGUUGCCGGACGGUGGCGUGAUUGGGAUUUCUCAAUCUAGGAACGUGGUCGAGA
rnacentral:sRNA from 1 species